UACGUAGGGGGCAAGCGUUGUCCGGAAUUAUUGGGCGUAAAGCGCGCGCAGGCGGUUUUUUAAGUUUGAUGUUUAAGGCACGGGCUCAACCCGUGUUCGCAUCGGAAACUGGAGAACUUGAGUGUAGGAGAGGAAAGUGGAAUUCCACGUGUAGCGGUGAAAUGCGUAGAGAUGUGGAGGAACACCAGUGGCGAAGGCGACUUUCUGGCCUAUAACUGACACUGAGACGCGAAAGCGUGGGGAGCAAACAGG
rnacentral:rRNA from 1 species